rnacentral:lncRNA from 1 species
AAAUCCCCCCUUUUUCACAAUAGAUUCCUCCCUUAAAUACUCUCUCUCUCUUCUCUUUUAGAAUUCUAUUUAAAAUAAAAUCCUAAUAUCUGAAAUAUUAAAUUCGUAAUUACAAAAAUAACCAAAAAUACAAAACACGUUAAACUAAAACUGCAGGUCCGCAGUUGACAGCACGCGCCCACGCCUUAUCAACAAAGUUCUUCUGACGCUCAUAAUUUCUCCAAGAGAACAAUCAUCCUUAAACAUCAUCUUAUAGCUCAAUUUUAUCAUCAAUCAAUAGAAUUGCACCUACAAAAGUAAAACACAAGUAAAUCAAUAUUAUUAAGUGCAAAACAUUGAUAUUAAGGGAAGUAAAUAAUGCAAAACCAGUGCAUAAAUUGCACUCUAACAAAUUCCCCCACACCAAGAUGAUGCUUGUCCUCAAGCAUAUAACUCAAGAUUAAUCUCAAAUCUCCACUCAAUUCUCAUCUCAACUCAUCCAAAAACAAUUUUAAGCAAGCAUACCUCAAGAAAUUAAGUCGAUCAACAUUCGAGAGACAAGGAUUUUAAAGCAUAGAAUUUCAUAAGAUAGAAUAAGAACAUUCAACCACCAAGAAGAUCCAUUCAAAAUUCAAGUGCAACAAGAUUUAAUAGCCCUCUCAAUAACUUCACUCCAUGCACUCAAAGUGUUUAGGGUGUCAUUUAUUCACUCAAAUCAAAUCAAAGAAUGCUAUUACCAUAAGCUUGCUCAUAUAUCACAUCUCAAUCCACAAAACAUGAAUAAAAUGCAAAAAUCUAAGGGUCUUAAAAGGGUUGUAAUGGGGUUAAAUAGGUUGAAUGAAAAAGAAAGGUUUACGAAAGAAAAAGAGAUCAAAAUGAGAAGAAUGAACUCAUUGAAUGAACUAGUGAUAUCAAAAUGCUUAUUUCUACUCAAGUCACCAAGAAUGUAAACAUUUUUUUUUCUUUUUUUUUUUUUCGAUUUUUCUUUUUCUUUUUUUUUCUCUUUUUUUUUGUUGUUUUUUUUUUCUUUUUUUUUUCUCUUUUUUUUGUUGUUUUUUUGUUGUUUUUUUUUUUGUUUUUGAAUCAAACAAAAGAAACGAACCUUGCACAAUUUAAUUCAAGCAUAAUGCUUAUUGAUCUAAUUGAGAAACUUUAUUACAAGGUAGAAAAAGCAACAAAAUAUAUCCACACAAUGAGUCCAAAAAUCUCCUUAAAUUAAGGCUCAAAAAGAAGAAAAAUGGUUAAGUAGACGGAGAAAAUUAGAUGGGUAAUGGUUAAGGCUCAAACAAAGAUAGCAAAUAAAGGUCUUCGGGUAGAGAGAAAAAAAAAAGCAAGAAUAGAAAAAUGGAAAAGGGUUUGCCCUUAUCAUUUUAAUGCAUAAAAUCCCGUAAUGCGGCUUCAACAUGCAUAACAAAGCAAGUUCUAGAAUAAACAAACUAAGAUUGAUAUUCACACAACAAAAAUAUUAGAGCAAAGUGGUUGCUCAUAGGCUCAAAUCCUCACAAAGUUGGUAAAUUUGCCAUCAAAUCAUGUACACUCUUCAAAUGAAUCAACCAUCAAUAGUGGUGUAGAAUGAGAAGAAGGUAUGAGUGAUAUAUAAAAGAAAAGGUAAAAAUGAUAAGAAGUGAGAAAGAUGUAUGUAGUAGUAUGAAAAGUGAAAGAUAAAAUGUGAGUGAUGAAAGAGUAUGAUAGAAUAAAAAUAGAUGUAAAUAAUUUGAGAUAGAUGGGAAAAGAGUAGUGAGAGAGAGAGGAAAAGAAAAUUAAUAAUAUAUGAAGCAUACUAACUCCAAAAUCAUUUAAGGAUGAGUAGGGUGAAAACAAUAAUUCCAGACAUCAAUAAUGCAAAAAUCCCUCCCCCACACUAAGAACUGACAUUGUCCCCAAUGUAAGAUAAUCAAAGCUCACAUAAAAAUUAAAGCGUAAGGAUAAAAGAUUAAGGGCAAAAACUUCCCUGAAUUGUGAGCUUUGAUCCUCAUAACGUCUAUGGGCUUGGCGGGAAUGGUGGGAUAAAUCCCACACUCUUGAAGUAUGCGGCCAAAUUCUGCUCCAUCUUGUCACGGAUUUCGAUUCACGCGCCUGGAAUGCAGGUUGUAGGCUGGUUGCGUUGCGAUUGCUGCUCGGCUGGAGCUUGCUUGAUGGACGCGGGAUGGCACUGAUUGUGUUGCGCGCGCGCGCUGGGGCUGCUGGAUCUGCGCGCUGCGUGGGCUGUGUUGUGCGCGAGAGCUGGGUUGACGCUGGUGCUGUGUUGCGUUGCGUGCGCGGGACUGAUGCGCUGCGCGAUGGUGAUGGCUGGAGCUUGCUGCGCGCGGGAUGCUGGUGCUGCGUUGCGUUGCGCGCGGCUGCUGCUGAUGCGUGGGCUGUGUUGCGCGCACGGUUGCUGCUGCUGCUUAGGCUGCGGCUGCUGGUUGCUAGUUGCACACUGCUGGUUGCGUGCGGGAUGCUGGUGCGUGGCUGUGUUGCGAGGCGUUGCUGCUGCUGCUUCACGAGGGUGAUUGCUGGAUUGAUUUGCGCUGUGCGCGCGGGCUGGAGCUGAGGAUCUGCGUUGCGGGGCGUUACUGCUACUGCUUCGCGGGAUGUGUUGCGCGCACGGUUGCUGCUGAUUUCGCACGAUGGUGAUGGCUGGGGCUUGCUGCGUUGCGCGCGGUUGCUUUCGCUGGUGGGACUUCGUUGCGCGCUGCUCGGCUGCGAGACACGGGAUGCUGGUGUUGCGCUCACGGGAUGGUGAGUUUUCCGGCGGGCUGGUUUGCUGCUGGUGUGCUGCAAGCGGCUGGAGAAGAAAACAAGUUCUGGAAAAUUAGGGAUUUUGUGAACAGUGAAUAGUGAACAGUGAUUUUCGAUUUUUGGUUUUUUUUUUUUUUUUUUUUUUUUUUUUUUAAGUGAUGAAUCACUUUGAGACACUAAAAAUUUCAGAAGUACUUUUCUAAUAAGUACGUGGGCACGCCUUAUAAAAAAUUUUCUUCUGACCAAAAUAAGCAAACACAUUAAAUUUCAGAAGUACUUUUCUAUUAAGUACGUGGGCACGCCUUAAAACUAUGUUACUUUAAAAAUUACAGAAGUACUUAUUAGCUAAGACGUGGGCACGCCUUAUCAAAAAUUUUCUUCUGACCAAAAUAAGCAAAAUUUUUUUUUUUGAAUCAAAAUUAAAAGAAGAUAUAACAAAAACCAAAACAAACAAAUCAUUUGGGUUGCCUCCCAAAAAGCGCCUUUGUUUUAUGUCUUUGGCUAGACACAUUUAUGCAUCAAUCUCCAUAAUUGGGACUCUCGAGAGCCACAUCCUCCACAAUAUUCACCGAAAAACCUUCAUAAAAAGGUUUUAAGCGAUGACCAUUAACCUUAAAAACUUUGUCAGAGGUCGGACUCCGAAUUUCAACUGCACCAUGAGAAAAAACAUUAGUAACAAUAAAAGGUCCAACCCAGCAAGAACGUAAUUUACCCGGAAAAAGUUUAAGCUUAGAAUGAAAAAGAAGAACUUUUUGACCAACAGAGAACUCCUUUCUCAAAAUCAUUCUAUCAUGAAAUGUCUUCGUCUUUUUCUUGUAAAAAACUUCCUGCACUAUAGGGUUAAUAACAUCCACAGAGAAUACUGAAUGUUCCUCACUAGGAUAUUUCAUGGCAUCAUUCAUAUUGAAUUCUAUAACCUCUCCAUCAAACUCCAUAGUGAGAGUCCCUUUAUGUACAUCCAUUUUAGUCAUAGCAGUCUUAAGAAAAGGUCUUCCUAGCAAAAUUGGGACAUAAUUAGAGGAGUUAUCAUCUUCCAUAUCAAGUACAUAAAAAUCAGCAGGAAAAACCAACUCAUUAACUUGUACUAAGACAUCUUCUAAUACCCCAUCAGGAUAUGCAUUAGACCUAUCAGCUAGUUGAAUUAUCACGCCAGUUUCUUUUAAUGGACCAACAUUCAAAGAUGAAUAAAUGGAACGAGGCAUGACAUUAAUAGAAGCUCCUAGAUCUAACAUAGCCUUUUCAACUCUAACACUACCAAUUUUACAAGGGAUAGUAAACAUACCUGGAUCCUUGCACUUAGGAGGUAGUUUCUUUUGGAGAACUGCUGAAACAUUCUCCCCCAUGUGAACUUUUUCAUCUCCUCUUAAUUUUCUCUUGGAGGUGCACAGUUCCUUAAAGACUUUAGCAUAUCGAGGUAUUUGUUUUAUAGCAUCUAACAAAGGAAUAUUUACCUCAACCUUGCGAAAUGUCUCAAGGAUGUCUUUAUCUUGUUCCUCCUUCUUGGAUUUCGCAAACCGGCUUGGAAAAGGAGGAGGUAUCACAAUAGGUAGGGGUUUCGCUCUGGUGGGUUGUGCAUCUUGAGAUUGAGGCAUCAAUUCAUUCUUCUCAAGCUCAUCUUCUAAAUGCUUUGUCACUUUCUUACUAGGCUCUUGCAACUCCGUCCCACUUCUAAGGAUGACAGCACUAACGUUUUCCUUUGGAUUCACCUCAGAUUGUGAAGGCAAUCUCCCUAAUACUUGAGACUCCAGACGGCUCACUGUAGUCGCCAAUUGACUCAUUUGGUUCUCCAAGUUCUGAAUGCUUGCUGUAGUUGCCUGCUGAAAUUGUUGAGUGUUAGUCGCAAGUGAUUUAACAAUUUCUUCAAGAGAUAUACCUGAAUUGGAGUUUGACUGUGGAGGUGUUGGUUGUCUUGGUGGAUACUGUUGUGGGAAUCCUGACGGCCUAACUCCAUAGCUAAAGUUCGGAUGAUCCUUCCAUCCCGGAUUGUAUGUUUGUGCAUAAGGAUCAUACCUCCUCUGAGGCAUGCCUGGAAAUCCUCCAACUGCAUUGGCUUGUUCAACGAGUUCUUCUUGAAGUGUAAGACACAUAUCAGUUGAAUGACCCAUAUUGUAACAAAUACCACAAGUCUUCACCUGUUGCACAUUACCUACAACAAACUUUUCCACAAGAGAAGUGAGUUUAUCUAAACUUUGUUCAACAGAAGAAAUAUUUACCUCAUUCACAUUCCUUAAGGUGGCAUCUUGUCUGCUGCCAAAUUGUUGUGCAUUGGCAGCCAUAUUUGAUAUCAACUCCCUUGCUUGAGUAGGAGUCUUGUUCACCAACACACCUCCACUAGCAGCAUCUAUCAUACUCCUAUCCAUCAAUGAUAGUCCUUCGUAAAAAUAUUGAAUAAGAAGUUGAUCAGAAAUUUGAUGCUGAGGACAACUGGCACACAAUUGUUUGAAUCGCUCCCAAUACUCAUACAAAGUCUCCCCAGGAAGUUGUCUGAUCCCACAAAUAUCUUUUCUGAUGUUGGCAGCUCUUGAAGCAGGAAAGUACUUCUCGAGGAACUGCUUCUUCAAACCAUUCCACGUUGUAAUCGAUCCAGGAGGCAAGUAGUACAACCAAUCUUUAGCUAGCCCAUCUACAGAGAACGGAAAAGCACGCAGCUUAAUCUGCUCUUCAGUCACGCCUUGUGGCCUCAUACUUGAGCACACAACAUGAAACUCCUUGAGAUGUUUAUGAGGAUCUUCACCUGCAAAACCAUGAAACUUGGGUAAUAAAUGAAUAAGACCAGACUUUAAUUCAAAAUUUACCUCCAAAUCUACAUAUUGAAUGCAGAGUGGUUGCUGAUUCAAGUCUGGUUCAGCUAACUCUCUAAGAGUUCUUGCUAUAGGUGCAGGUCUAUCCAUCACUUGUUCUUCUGAAUCACUAGAUGAUUCAACUAAAUUAGGCACCGUAUCUGUUUCAGAAAGCAAAGGCGAUGAGGAUCGUUGCUUAGCUCGCUUCGUCUGCUGUCUCAGCUGGCGAGCUGUCUUCUCAAUUUCAGGAUCAAACGAAAGUGUACCUGUACGAGAAGAAUGAACCAUACACCAAGUAAAACGUAAAAAGGAUUAAAUAAAUGACACCAAUCCCCAGCAACGGCGCCAAAAUUUGAUGGGUGUCGAAGCCAACAAAAAUAAAUUCCUACUCUAAAUAAAUUGUGUAUAGUGAUUGAGCAGGGUUGUGUCCACAGAGAUCGGUAAUUAUUUAAAUCCUUUUGAAACGUAAAACGUAAAAUGGGGGAAUUGUAGACAAUAAUAAAAAUCAAAUUAAAUAACAAGAAUGCAAAUUAAAGUUGUAAUUCAAAUUGGAGAAAGCUCUGGUUGAAUGAAUUAACUAAGCUUGAUUCGACUACUGAUCAUUGAUUCAAAUAUAGAUUAUUAUUACUUAUGAAUAGACCGGUUAUAGCUAUUGAGACCCUCUAAUAGCCAAUCUCUCCUUAACUAGUCGAUAACCAAGGUACGACCGUUGGAUAUUUCCCUAAUCAAUAGACAACCCUAGAUACGAUCAUAGGAUUUAAUCAAUUGACAGCCUGAAAAACCAGAGAGACCCAAAUCCUAAUUAACACAUAUGAUGAUUCAUUUAAAUUAGAUUGUUUAUUCUCACAACACAACUCUCUGCUAUGUUAUUUGUCACAAACAUUAAAUUCUUCAUACGAUGAAUCCUUUAAUUGACAAUAGAUUAAGUUGAUAAUUAAAUAGUGGCCAAUUACCUAAUUAACAAACAUAAUCAUGAAAAUAAUUCAGAGAAUAAACAAAUACCCAAAAAGUAAUAAAACAAUUAAAGCACAAGAAAGAUCUCACAGUAGUGAUGAAUCAAAGCUUCAUUAACCUUCAACCAGAAAAAUGGGUUUAGUUCCUCAUAGAGAGAAGAGAAAAAUUAGAUCUAGGGUUUCUUUUUCUCCAAUAAAAAAAUCCCCCCCUUUUUCACAAUAGAUUCCUCCCUUAAAUACUCUCUCUCUUUUCUCUUUUAGAAUUCUAUUUAAAAUAAAAUCCUAAUAUCUGAAAUAUUAAAUUCGUAAUUACAAAAAUAACCAAAAAUACAAAACACGUUAAACUAAAACUGCAGGUCCGCAGUUGACAGCACGCGCCCACGCCUUAUCAACAAAGUUCUUCUGACGCUCAUAAUUUCUCCAAGAGAACAAUCAUCCUUAAACAUCAUCUUAUAGCUCAAUUUUAUCAUCAAUCAAUAGAAUUGCACCUACAAAA